rnacentral:tRNA from 1 species
GCGGCGGUGAUGGAACGGUAGACAUGAUGCGCUCAAAACGCAUUGUCCUUAGGGACGUGUGGGUUCGAAUCCCACCCGCCGUA